rnacentral:rRNA from 1 species
UACGGAGGUUCCAAGCGUUGUUCGGAAUUACUGGGCGUAAAGGGAGCGCAGGCGGACGGGUCAGUUUAAAGUGGAAUCCCAGGGCUCAACCCUGGACGUGCUUUGGAUACUGCCUGUCUUGAGUUCGUGAGAGGAAAGUGGAAUUCAGGGUGUAGCGGUGAAAUGCUUAGAUAUCCUGAGGAACACCAGUGGCGAAAGCGACUUUCUGGCACGAAACUGACGCUGAGGCUCGAAAGCAUGGGUAGCGAACGGGAUUAGAUACCCCGGUAGUCCAUGCCGUAAACGUUGUGUACUAGGUGCAGGAGGUAUCGACCCCUUCUGUGCCGAAGCUAACGCAUUAAGUACACCGCCUGGGGAGUACGCGCGCAAGCGUGAA